AUUAGAUACCCGGGUAGUCCUAGCCGUAAACGAUACUCGCUAGGUGUCGGCCACGGUGCGACCGUUGUCGGUGCCGUAGGGAAGCCGUGAAGCGAGCCACCUGGGAAGUACGGCCGCAAGGCUGAAACUUAAAGGAAUUGGCGGGGGAGCACCACAACGGGUGGAGCUUGCGGUUUAAUUGGAUUCAACGCCGGAAAUCUUACCGGGACCGACAGCAACAUGAAGGCCAGGCUGAAGACUUUGCCGGAUUAGCUG
rnacentral:rRNA from 1 species